rnacentral:rRNA from 1 species
UACGUAGGGUGCAAGCGUUGUCCGGAAUUAUUGGGCGUAAAGAGCUCGUAGGCGGUCUGUUGCGUCGGCUGUGAAAACCCGGGGCUCAACUCCGGGCCUGCAGCCGAUACGGGCAGACUAGAGUUCGGCAGGGGAGACUGGAAUUCCUGGUGUAGCGGUGAAAUGCGCAGAUAUCAGGAGGAACACCGGUGGCGAAGGCGGGUCUCUGGGCCGAUACUGACGCUGAGGCACGAAAGCGUGGGGAGCGAACGGG